GACGAACGCUGGCGGCGUGCUUAACACAUGCAAGUCGAACGGAAAGGCCCUGCUUUUGUGGGGUGCUCGAGUGGCGAACGGGUGAGUAACACGUGAGUAACCUGCCCUUGACUUUGGGAUAACUUCAGGAAACUGGGGCUAAUACCGGAUAGGAGCUCCUGCUGCAUGGUGGGGGUUGGAAAGUUUCGGCGGUUGGGGAUGGACUCGCGGCUUAUCAGCUUGUUGGUGGGGUAGUGGCUUACCAAGGCUUUGACGGGUAGCCGGCCUGAGAGGGUGACCGGCCACAUUGGGACUGAGAUACGGACCAGACUCCUACGGGAGGCAGCGGUGGGGAAUAUUGCACAAUGGGCGGAAGCCUGAUGCAGCGACGCCGCGUGCGGGAUGACGGCCUUCGGGUUGUAAACCGCUUUCGCCUGUGACGAAGCGUGAGUGACGGUAAUGGGUAAAGAAGCACCGGCUAACUACGUG
rnacentral:rRNA from 1 species